GUGGGGAAUAUUGGACAAUGGGCGAAAGCCUGAUCCAGCCAUGCCGCGUGUGUGAAGAAGGUCUUCGGAUUGUAAAGCACUUUAAGUUGGGAGGAAGGGCAGUAAGUUAAUACCUUGCUGUUUUGACGUUACCGACAGAAUAAGCACCGGCUAACUUCGUGCCAGCAGCCGCGGUAAUACGAAGGGUGCAAGCGUUAAUCGGAAUUACUGGGCGUAAAGCGCGCGUAGGUGGUUUUGUAAGUUGGAGGUGAAAUCCCCGGGCUCAACCUGGGAACUGCCUCCAAAACUGCAUGACUAGAGUACGGUAGAGGGUAGUGGAAUUUCCUGUGUAGCGGUGAAAUGCGUAGAUAUAGGAAGGAACACCAGUGGCGAAGGCGACUACCUGGACUGAUACUGACACUGAGGUGCGAAAGCAUGGGGAGCAAACAGGAUUAGAAACCCUGGUAGUCC
rnacentral:rRNA from 1 species